UUAUGGCCAUGUCAUAUUGGAACACUGGUUCUCAUAUGAACGCCAAGGGUAAGCAUCAUCAAGCCUGGUCAGUACCAAGGUAGGUGACCACUUGGGAACGUGUGGGUGGUG
rnacentral:rRNA from 1 species